rnacentral:rRNA from 1 species
GACGAACGCUGGCGGCGUGCUUAACACAUGCAAGUCGUACGGUAAGGCCCUUUCGGGGGUACACGAGUGGCGAACGGGUGAGUAACACGUGAGUAACCUGCCCACAACUUUGGGAUAACGCUAGGAAACUGGUGCUAAUACUGGAUAUGUGCUCCUGCUGCAUGGUGGGGGGUGGAAAGCUUCGGCGGUUGUGGAUGGACUCGCGGCCUAUCAGCUUGUUGGUGGGGUAGUGGCCUACCAAGGCGGCGACGGGUAGCCGGCCUGAGAGGGUGACCGGCCACAUUGGGACUGAGAUACGGCCCAGACUCCUACGGGAGGCAGCAGUGGGGAAUAUUGCACAAUGGGCGCAAGCCUGAUGCAGCAACGCCGCGUGCGGGAUGACGGCCUUCGGGUUGUAAACCGCUUUCAGCAGGGACGAAGCUUUUUGUGACGGUACCUGCAGAAGAAGCACCGGCUAACUACGUG